rnacentral:rRNA from 1 species
AUACGGAGGGUGCAAGCGUUACUCGGAAUCACUGGGCGUAAAGCGCGCGCAGGCGGAUUGGCAAGUUGGAUGUGAAAGCCUGCGGCUCAACCGCAGAACUGCAUCCAAAACUGUCAGUCUAGAGUCUGUGAGAGGUAGCUGGAAUUAGUGGUGUAGGGGUAAAAUCCGUAGAGAUCACUAGGAAUACCGAAAGCGAAGGCGAGCUACUGGAACAGUACUGACGCUGAGGCGCGAAAGCGUGGGGAGCAAACAGGAUUAGAUACCCCGGUAGUCC